rnacentral:rRNA from 1 species
GACGGAGGGUGCAAGCGUUGUUCGGAUUGACUGGGCGUAAAGGGCGUGUAGGCGGUCGGUCAAGUCUGGUGUGAAAGCCCGGGGCUCAGCUCCGGAAGUGCAUCGGAAACUAGCUGGCUGGAGCGCGAUAGAGGAGGGCGGAAUUCCUGGUGUAGCGGUGAAAUGCGUAGAUAUCGGGAGGAACACCUGUGGCGAAAGCGGCGCACUGGACCAUAACUGACGCUGAGGCGCGAAAGCUAGGGGAGCAAACAGG